UGGGGAAUAUUCGGCAAUGGGGGAAAGCCCUGACCCAGCAACGCCGCGUGAAGGAAGAAGGCCUUCGGGUUGUAAACUUCUUUUACCAGGGACGAAGGACGUGACGGUACCUGGAGAAAAAGCAACGGCUAACUACGUGCCAGCAGCCGCGGUAAUACGUAGGUUGCGAGCGUUGUCCGGAUUUACUGGGUGUAAAGGGCGUGUAGGCGGAGAAGCAAGUUGGGAGUGAAAUCUAUGGGCUCAACCCAUAAACUGCUCUCAAAACUGUUUCCCUUGAGUAUCGGAGAGGCAAGCGGAAUUCCUAGUGUAGCGGUGAAAUGCGUAGAUAUUAGGAGGAACACCAGUGGCGAAGGCGGCUUGCUGGACGACAACUGACGCUGAGGCGCGAAAGCGUGGGGAGCAAACAGGAUUAGAUACCC
rnacentral:rRNA from 1 species